AGAGUUUGAUCCUGGCUCAGGAUGAACGCUAGCGGCAGGCUUAACACAUGCAAGUCGAGGGGCAGCAUAAUGGUAGUAAUACUAUUGAUGGCGACCGGCGGACGGGUGCGUAACGCGUAUGCAACCUACCCUUUACAGGGGGAUAACACUGAGAAAUCGGUACUAAUACCCCAUAAUAUUCUGGGAGGCAUCUUUCGGAGUUGAAAGCUUUGGUGGUAAAGGAUGGGCAUGCGUUGUAUUAGCUAGUUGGUAAGGUAACGGCUUACCAAGGCGACGAUACAUAGGGGGACUGAGAGGUUAACCCCCCACAUUGGUACUGAGACACGGACCAAACUCCUACGGGAGGCAGCAGUGAGGAAUAUUGGUCAAUGGACGGAAGUCUGAACCAGCCAUGCCGCGUGCAGGAAGACGGCUCUAUGAGUUGUAAACUGCUUUUGUACGAGGGUAAACGCAGAUACGUGUAUCUGCCUGAAAGUAUCGUACGAAUAAGGAUCGGCUAACUCCGUGCCAGCAGCCGCGGUAAUACGGAGGAUCCAAGCGUUAUCCGGAUUUAUUGGGCUUAAAGGGUGCGUAGGCGGUUUAGUAAGUCAGCGGUGAAAUUUUGGUGCUUAACACCAAACGUGCCGUUGAUACUGCUGGGCUAGAGAGUAGUUGCGGUAGGCGGAAUGUAUGGUGUAGCGGUGAAAUGCUUAGAUAUCACGAAGAACUCCGAUUGCGAAGGCAGCUCACUGGAGUGUAACUGACGCUGAUGCUCGAAAGUGUGGGUAUCAAACAGGAUUAGAUACCCUGGUAGUCCACACAGUAAACGAUGAAUACUCCGCUGUUUGCGAUAUACAGUAAGCGGCCAAGCGAAAGCAUUAAGUAUUCCACCUGGGGAGUACGCCGGCAACGGUGAAACUCAAAGGAAUUGACGGGGGCCCGCACAAGCGGAGGAACAUGUGGUUUAAUUCGAUGAUACGCGAGGAACCUUACCCGGGCUUAAAUUGCAAAUGAAUUAUGGGGAAACCCAUAGGCCGUAAGGCAUUUGUGAAGGUGCUGCAUGGUUGUCGUCAGCUCGUGCCGUGAGGUGUCGGCUUAAGUGCCAUAACGAGCGCAACCCUUAUCUUCAGUUACUAACAGGUCAUGCUGAGGACUCUGGAGAGACUGCCGUCGUAAGAUGUGAGGAAGGUGGGGAUGACGUCAAAUCAGCACGGCCCUUACGUCCGGGGCUACACACGUGUUACAAUGGGGGGUACAGAAGGCCGCUACCUGGUGACAGGAUGCCAAUCCCAAAAACCUCUCUCAGUUCGGAUCGAAGUCUGCAACCCGACUUCGUGAAGCUGGAUUCGCUAGUAAUCGCGCAUCAGCCAUGGCGCGGUGAAUACGUUCCCGGGCCUUGUACACACAGGCCGUCAAG
rnacentral:rRNA from 1 species